rnacentral:rRNA from 1 species
GGACCAAGGAGUCUAACAUGUCUGCGAGUGUUUGGGUGGCAAACCCGAGCGCGCAAUGAAAGUGAAUGCAGGUGGGAGGCGCGAGCCGCACCAUCGACCGAUCUGGAUCUUUAGUGAUGGAUUUGAGUAAGAGCAUAUAUGUUGGGACCCGAAAGAUGGUGAACUAUGCCUGAAUAGGGCGAAGCCAGAGGAAACUCUGGUGGAGGCUCGUAGCGAUUCUGACGUGCAAAUCGAUCGUCAAAUUUGGGUAUAGGGGCGAAAGACUAAUCGAACCAU